CACGUGGAUAACCUACCCUUGGGACUGGAAUAACCCCGGGAAACUGGGGAUAAUACUGGAUAGAUCAGGGAUGCUGGAAUGCACCUUGAUCCAAAGCUCCGGCGCCCAAGGAUGGGUCUGCGGCCUAUCAGAUAGUAGUGGGUGUAACGUACCUACUAGCCAACGACGGGUACGGGUUGUGAGAGCAAGAGCCCGGAGAUGGAUUCUGAGACACGAAUCCAGGCCCUACGGGGUGCAGCAGGCGCGAAACCUUUACAAUGUGCGAAAGCAUGAUAAGGGAACUCCGAGUGCCAGUAUCUAAUACUGGCUGUCCUUGUGCCUAAAACGCACAAGAUAGCAAGGGCCGGGUAAGACCGGUGCCAGCCGCCGCGGUAACACCGGCGGCCCGAGUGGUAGCCGCUAUUAUUGGGUCUAAAGAGUCCGUAGCCGGUUCGAUAAGUCCUCUGGAAAUCUGGUUGCUUAACAAUCAGACUGCCAAGGGAUACUGUCGAACUUUGACACCGGGAGAGGUAAGAGGUACUUCAGGGGUAGGAGUGAAAUCUUGUAAUCCCUGGGGGACCAUCUGUGGCGAAGGCGUCUUACCAGAACGGGUCUGACGGUGAAGGACGAAAGCUGGGGGCGCAAACCGGAUUAGAUACCCGGGUAGUCCCAGCCGUAAACGAUGCUCGCUAUGUGUCAGGUACGGUGUGACCGUAUCUGGUGCCGUAGGGAACCCGUGAACCAAGCCACCUGGGAAGUACGGCCGCAAGGCUGAAACUUAAAGGAAUUGGCGGGGGAGCACUACAACGGGUGGAGCCUGCGGUUUAAUUGGAUUCAACGCCGGAAAUCUUACCGGGGGAGACAGCAGCAUGAAGGUCAGGCUGAAGACCUUACCAGAUCCGCUGAGAGGAAGUGCAUGGCCGUCGUCAGUUCGUACUGUGAAGCAUCCUGUUAAGUCAGGCAACGAGCGAGACCCGUGCCCACAGUUGCCAGCAUACCCUUCGGGGUGAUGGGUACUUUGUGGGGACCGCCGCUGCUAAAGCGGAGGAAGGAGCGGGUUACGGUAGGUCAGUAUGCUCCGAAACUCCCGGGCUACACGCGGGCUACAAUGGUUGGGACAAUGGGAAUCAACACCGAAAGGUGAAGGCAAUCUCCUAACCCAAUCGAGUC
rnacentral:rRNA from 1 species